UGCGUAGGCGGGCUAAUAAGUCAGUGGUGAAAUCUCUCGGCUCAACCGGGAAACUGCCAUUGAUACUGUUAAUCUUGAGUUCGGUUGAGGUAGGCGGAAUGUGUAAUGUAGCGGUGAAAUGCUUAGAUAUUACACAGAACACCAAUUGCGUAGGCAGCUUACUAGACCGACACUGACGCUGAGGCACGAAAGCGUGGGUAGCAAACAGGAUUAGAUACCCUGGUAGUCC
rnacentral:rRNA from 1 species